rnacentral:rRNA from 1 species
CACGUAGGGGGCAAGCGUUGUCCGGAUUUAUUGGGCGUAAAGAGCUCGUAGGCGGCUUGGUAAGUCGGGUGUGAAACCUCCAGGCUCAACCUGGAGACGCCACUCGAUACUGUUUGGCUAGAGACCGGAAGAGGUAAGUGGAACUGCGAGUGUAGAGGUGAAAUUCGUAGAUAUUCGCAAGAACACCAGUGGCGAAGGCGGCUUCCUGGACACCAACUGACGCUGAGACGCGAAAGCGUGGGGAGCAAACAGG